rnacentral:rRNA from 1 species
UACGGAGGAUCCAAGCGUUAUCCGGAAUCAUUGGGUUUAAAGGGUCCGUAGGCGGUUUUGUAAGUCAGUGGUGAAAGCCCAUCGCUCAACGGUGGAACGGCCAUUGAUACUGCAAGACUUGAAUUAUUAGGAAGUAACUAGAAUAUGUAGUGUAGCGGUGAAAUGCUUAGAUAUUACAUGGAAUACCAAUUGCGAAGGCAGGUUACUAACAAUAUAUUGACGCUGAUGGACGAAAGCGUGGGUAGCGAACAGG